UGUGGCUCUGGGGGAAGAGUAGUCGUCUUGUGAGCGGAAGGUUGCAGGUUUGAUUCCUGCCA
rnacentral:tRNA from 1 species